rnacentral:rRNA from 1 species
GACGAGCGGCGGACGGGUGAGUAAUGUCUGGGAAACUGCCUGAUGGAGGGGGAUAACUACUGGAAACGGUAGCUAAUACCGCAUAACGUCGCAAGACCAAAGUGGGGGACCUUCGGGCCUCAUGCCAUCAGAUGUGCCCAGAUGGGAUUAGCUAGUAGGUGGGGUAACGGCUCACCUAGGCGACGAUCCCUAGCUGGUCUGAGAGGAUGACCAGCCACACUGGAACUGAGACACGGUCCAGACUCCUACGGGAGGCAGCAGUGGGGAAUAUUGCACAAUGGGCGCAAGCCUGAUGCAGCCAUGCCGCGUGUAUGAAGAAGGCCUUCGGGUUGUAAAGUACUUUCAGCGGGGAGGAAGGCGAUAAGGUUAAUAACCUUGUCGAUUGACGUUACCCGCAGAAGAAGCACCGGCUAACUCCGUGCCAGCAGCCGCGGUAAUACGGAGGGUGCAAGCGUUAAUCGGAAUUACUGGGCGUAAAGCGCACGCAGGCGGUCUGUCAAGUCGGAUGUGAAAUCCCCGGGCUCAACCUGGGAACUGCAUUCGAAACUGGCAGGCUAGAGUCUUGUAGAGGGGGGUAGAAUUCCAGGUGUAGCGGUGAAAUGCGUAGAGAUCUGGAGGAAUACCGGUGGCGAAGGCGGCCCCCCUGGACAAAGACUGACGCUCAGGUGCGAAAGCGUGGGGAGCAAACAGGAUUAGAUACCCUGGUAGUCCCCGCCGUAACGAUGUCGAUUUGGAGGUUGUGCCCUUGAGGCGUGGCUUCCGGAGCUAACGCGUUUAAUCGACCGCCUGGGGAAUACGGCCGCAGGUUAAAACUCAAUGAAUUGACGGGGGCCCCCCAAACGGUGGAACAUGUGGUUUAUUCGAUGCACCCGAAAACCUAACUGGUCUUGAAUCCCAAACUUGCCAAAAUGGUUGGUGCUCCGGAACUGGGAAA